rnacentral:rRNA from 1 species
CCUAGCCCUUCAGAGGGGGACAACAGUUGGAAACGACUGCUAAUACCGCAUACGAUCCAAUCUCGGCAUCGAGGAUGGAUGAAAGGUGGCCUCUAUUUAUAAGCUAUCACUGAAGGAGGGGAUUGCGUCUGAUUAGCUAGUUGGGGGGGUAACGGCCCACCAAGGCGAUGAUCAGUAGCCGGUCUGAGAGGAUGAACGGCCACAUUGGGACUGAGACACGGCCCAG